rnacentral:rRNA from 1 species
UACGUAGGGUGCGAGCGUUAAUCGGAAUUACGUGGGCGUAAAGCGUGCGCAGGCGGCUUUGCAAGAACAGAUGUGAAAUCCCCGGGCUCCAACCUGGGAACUGCAUUUGUGACUGCAAGGCUAGAGUACGGCAGAGGGGGAUGGAAUUCCGCGUGUAGCAGUGAAAUGCGUAGAUAUGCGGAGGAACACCAAUGGCGAAGGCAAUCCCCUGGGCCUGUACUGACGCUCAUGCACGAAAGCGUGGGGAGCAAACAGG